GACGAACGCUGGCGGCGUGCUUAACACAUGCAAGUCGAACGGUAAGGCCCUUCGGGGUACACGAGUGGCGAACGGGUGAGUAACACGUGGGUGAUCUGCCCUGCACUUCGGGAUAAGCCUGGGAAACUGGGUCUAAUACCGGAUAGGACUCCUGGCUUCAUGGUUGGGGGUGGAAAGCUUUUGCGGUGUGGGAUGGGCCCGCGGCCUAUCAGCUUGUUGGUGGGGUAAUGGCCUACCAAGGCGACGACGGGUAGCCGGCCUGAGAGGGUGACCGGUCACACUGGGACUGAGUGACGCGCCAGACUCCUACGGGAGGCAGCAGUGGGGAAUAUUGCACAAUGGGCGCAAGCCUGAUGCAGCGACGCCGCGUGAGGGAUGACGGCCUUCGGGUUGUAAGCCUCUUUCAGCUAUGACGAAGCGCAAGUGACGGUAGUAGCAGAAGAAGGACCGGCCAACUACGUGCCAGCCGCCGCCGUAA
rnacentral:rRNA from 1 species